ensembl:lncRNA
GAUAAAAACAAAUGUCAAAAUACUGAAUUUCCCAGAGGAAGGAAUUGUGUUUUCUGAACAGCUCUACUGAUGAGUUGCUAUUCAUACCAUGUGAUUGGUUUGUAUCCUAAUAGGAUGGCCUACGUGGAUUUAUAAACUCAGGCCACCUUUCUAGCCCCUGUUAAACAAGAUGCUUAUGCAGAUGCUUAAUCCGCAGCACCUGAGGAAUAUCCCAUUGAUUUCAGUGUUGAACUGGUACCUCUGUUUGUGAAGUAGUUCUCCAUGAACAGGCCCAGGAUUUCACCCAUGCAGUUCACCCUGUUGUCUUUCUGCUCAUCCAGCAGCGUGAGCUGUGCCUACUCCACCCAACACCCUUCAGCAGGUUCAGCAGGUGGCUUGCUGAAAUCACCAGCUUGGAACAUUUGUGCAUUUCUCCUCUGUUGCUGUUUCACUGUUUCAACAGUUCUGUGGAGCAGGUUUAUUGUGGGCAUCCUGACGGGUGCUGCGCUCCUCAGAUUAACCCCACACCAACUCAACAUCUACUCAGCUACAAAACAAGAGUUUAGGUCUUGCAGCCCCCAGCCGGCCUCACAAACCCUCCACCCCUCUGGCCUGAAUGGCCCCUACAUCUCUGUUCUGAAGCCCACCCUACCCUGUACCCCACCACGCCUCUGCUUUGAGGGCCCCUCUACACACACCUGCCCACCAUGAUGGGGGGGGCGGCCAUUUUGUAUCUGUUGUUUUUUAACGGUACUUGAACUGACCACACCGAAACCACCACUUUAACUGCGGCCGCAACUUCUGAACCAAACUGGCGCCGCUUUCUUACAGCCUUAAUCAUGGUUCCCUCUGCCUAACUAUCGCCUCUGCCCCAUGGACCCCAUUCAGCAGCGAUCUGUGGUGGCAGAGAAACAAAAAGCCAUGGAGUGCCCUUUCAGAGCUCGAGCCCCAUCUUAUUUCAGCAGCAGGUUACCGAUUGACUCGUUCGGUUCACAAAUUAUAUGUUAUUUACCAUCUCUUUGACAGUUUUACCAUAUAUGGAGGCCACAGUGAGUCCAUUCAAACUACAUCACAAAACACGUUUUAUAAUCUGUGGGUUUUUAUGACAGCCAAAUUAUACUCCUUGGCUUUUAAGGGAAUAUAUUAAGUUAGCUUUCACUCUAAGUGACAUGACAUAUGAUUUCUCAUUUUAAACAAAAAAAUAGACCAAGUUUGUAAUUUCAGCCUGCUGCACGUUUUUCAUUUCGCAUGAUUUAAUGCUUUCGGCCGAGAGCGAUUGGAACAGAAGACGAAUCCUCAUGCAGGUGUAUAUUGAAAGCUCCUGCAAGCUCCGUUUUGACUAAUGCAGCUACACUCAGUCCACAGCCGUUUGGUUCCCUUUGGUUUUUUCCCCUCUUUUCUAGCAUCAGCGUGAAAAUCGCAGCGUGCCUUGAGUAUAGAAAGGGGCUUUGUUAAAAUCGUCCCUUUGGCAAAAGCAGCACACGGAUACUGGAAACAGACACGAACACUGUGCCCUCCAGUUUCUCCUGGGGGAAUAAGAAAAGGAAGAUACAAAUCUUUGACAAUAAAUGAGGCAGGUGGUGGGGAGUUUGAGGAGUC